UUUAAUUUAUACAUUCAUUGCGCGGCUGUUACAAAGAGUGAUACACACACAUUGGGCACACUCUGAACCAAGGCUAUAUAACUCUGAACUAAGAGAGUGUUGUUGAGUUUUGCUGUUUUAUGAAUGUUUAAUGUGUUUUUAACUACCUCAAUCUCGCUUUUACAAUAUCUGAGACAUGAACAUGGCAAGCUUUUAAAAUAAAAUAACACCACAUUCCUACAUCAGCAUGAGAAGAGGGACAUUUUUGGUUUUAAGACAAUUUGGACAAUUUUGGACAAUUUGGCGAUAAAGUGAUAAUAGGGGCAGGUUUGGUGAGAAUUGGGUGCAUUCGCCGGACAGCCCGUCGUGAAAACGGCUAAUAUUUUUUCCCUUUGCAGUUGAAGAUGCAGAAUGGCUCUGCCCCGUGUGCCGCAGCAAGCCACAGCCUGCCGGAGAGAGCACAUCAACAUAGUAGAAAACCAUGGACAUCCGGAGAGAACUAUGCGGCAUGACAAACUCUACGAGCACUGGUGGUUCCUCCCUGCCGUCUCACGGCAGCGGCGCGACGGUGUCGAGAACGGUGGCUUGGUCAGCGGGGAAUCCGGCGAAGCGCUGCGCGCUGAGGGUGGGUGAUAGAUGACCGGUCACUGAACAAUGAAGCGAGUCAGAUCAUUGGGCGCAGUGAUUACCAGCCACGCAUCGCGGCUGGUCCGCGGAAGUUAUUGCUUUGAUGUCGGACUAAGUCACACAAUGUUUUGUCACAUUCUAGAGUGAUGCUGACAAUGGAAUGCAUCGCUAAUUUGCUUCCGAUGCUGCCUUAACGGUGAUAUGAGAUGCGUGAUAAACCGUUUGUUUGUU